rnacentral:misc_RNA from 1 species
GUAGGUGAACCUGCGGAAGGAUCAUUAACACGUAUCCAACGUUAAACAACCCUGUGAACCUUGAACGUGCUCUCGUACACGCUCUAGCAGCAAUCCCUGGUAAAUCAUUGCUGACCAGCUAUUGAGUCUGGGACUUCUGCUAGAAAACCAUACGAUACGAGCGCCAGAGUAAGUGCGGCCUGGCAUCCUAGCAAUCUGUCAGUGGUUGCGCAAGGAUGGCAACAACCGCACCACAAACUCGAACAACUGUUAACAAUGGAUAUCUUGGUUCUU